UGUUGGUGCCCUCGCGACAAUGAUCCGUAAACCCCGCCAGGCCCGGAAGGGAGCAACGGUAGCGGUGAUGUUGGGCGCCGAGGUGUGGCUGGCAUGG
rnacentral:SRP_RNA from 1 species